GGACGCGUAACUCAGUGGCCAGAGUGCUUCGUUUACAUCGAAGAAGUCGUAGGUUCAAGUCCUACCGCGUCCA
rnacentral:tRNA from 1 species